rnacentral:lncRNA from 10 species
CUCCAAAUAUUGACAACUGUUCCUAAUGUCCUCUUAGUAAGACUUAAAUCCUUGCAGGCAUGCCCAGUAUUUUUCCUUGAUCAACAAAUGCAGUCAGUUCUGGAACAAUUUUCCCUUCACUUGGGGCUUUUUCUGAGAGGCAAGACUUGGAAGUACUGUUACAGAAAUCUAUGGAACCAAAAGGCAGGAGCAGCAAAACAGACACAUUCUGGCCAGAGACAAAGGAAACGAAGGAGACAAGGAGACAAAGGUCUACUGAGAAGGCUGAAAAGUGAAAUAGUGGAGGUUCUGGAAGGCUUUUCCUUCCUUCCUUCCUUCCUUCCUUCCUUCCUUCCUUCCUUCCUCUCUCUCUUUCUUUCUCUCUUUUUUUUUUUCAGGAAGUCUUUGUUUUUUUUUGCCCUCCUCAUAACUUCCUAGAAAGCACAUGUGGGCUGGGUGCAGGGGUUCACGCCUGCAAUCCCUAUGCUUUGGGAGGCUGAGGCAGGAGGAUCGCUUGAGCCCAGGAGUCUGAGACCAGCCUGGGCAACAUAGCAAGACCCCAUCUCUACAAAGAAAAAAAAAUAGGCAGGUGUGGUGGCAAGCACCUGUAGUCACAGCUACUUGGAAAGAUGAGGCAGGAAGAUUGCUUGAGUUCAGGAGUUCGAGGCUGCAGUGAGCUGUGAUUGUGCUGCUGUACUGCAUCCUGGGCAACAGAACGAGACUAUGUCAGAAAGAAAGAAAGAGAGAAAGAGAGAGAGAGGAAGGAAGGAAGGAAGAAAAGAGAAGGGAAGGGAAGGGAAAGGAAAGGAAAGGGAGGAAGGAAGGGAAAGAAGAAGCAAGGAAGAAAGAGAGAAAGAAAGGAAAGAAAGAAAAGGAAGAAAAGCGAGGAAGGAAUGAAGGAAGGGAGGGAGGGAGGAAGGGAGAGAGAAAAAAGGAAGGAAGGAGAGGGAAUGAAAGGAAAGAAAAAGAAAGAAAGCCUGGGCACAGUGGCUCAGGCCUGUAAUCUCAGCACUUUGGGAGGCCGAGGUGGGCGGAUCACGAGGUCAAGAGAUCAAGACCAUCCUGGCCAACCCCGUCUCUACUAAAAAUACAAAAAUUAGCUGGGUGUGG